GACGAACGCUGGCGGCGUGCUUAACACAUGCAAGUCGAACGGAAAGGCCCUGCUUUUGUGGGGUGCUCGAGUGGCGAACGGGUGAGUAACACGUGAGUAACCUGCCCUUGACUUUGGGAUAACUUCAGGAAACUGGGGCUAAUACCGGAUAGGAGCUCCUGCUGCAUGGUGGGGGUUGGAAAGUUUCGGCGGUUGGGGAUGGACUCGCGGCUUAUCAGCUUGUUGGUGGGGUAGUGGCUUACCAAGGCUUUGACGGGUAGCCGGCCUGAGAGGGUGACCGGCCACAUUGGGACUGAGAUACGGCCCAGACUCCUAUGGGAGGCAGCAGUGGGGAAUAUUGCACAAUGGGCGGAAGCCUGUUGCAGCAACGCCGCGUGCGGGAUGACGGCCUUCGGGUUGUAAACCGCUUUCGCCUGUGACGAAGCGUGAGUGACGGUAAUGGGUAAAGAAGCACCGGCUAACUACGUG
rnacentral:rRNA from 1 species